GAGUUUGAUCAUGGCUCAGAUUGAACGCUGGCGGCAUGCUUUACACAUGCAAGUCAGACGGCAGCACAGAGAAGCUUGCUUCUUGGGUGGCGAGUGGCGAACGGGUGAGUAAUAUAUUGGAACGUACCGAGUAAUGGGGGAUAACUUGCCGAAAGGUAAGCUAAUACCGCAUACGCUCUGAGGAGGAAAGCAGGGGACCUUCGGGCCUUGCGUUAUUCGAGCGGCCAAUAUCUGAUUAGCUAGUUGGUGGGGUAAAGGCCUACCAAGGCGACGAUCAGUAGCGGGUCUGAGAGGAUGAUCCGCCACACUGGGACUGAGACACGGCCCAGACUCCUACGGGAGGCAGCAGUGGGGAAUUUUGGACAAUGGGCGCAAGCCUGAUCCAGCCAUGCCGCGUGUCUGAAGAAGGCCUUCGGGUUGUAAAGGACUUUUGUCAGGGAAGAAAAGGUUGUGGCUAAUAUCCAUGACUGAUGACGUACCUGAAGAAUAAGCACCGCA
rnacentral:rRNA from 1 species